ensembl:snRNA
GUGCUUUAUAAAAGGAGAGAAGAUUUAGCAGUCCCCUUGAUAAGGAUGGAAGAGGCCAUUGCACCUGACACCAUACAUAUGGUUAAGGCAUUGCCACCUACUUCAUGGCAUUUAACCACUGUUUUUG